GACGGGGGGUCCAAGCGUUGUUCGGAAUCAUUGGGCGUAAAGAGCGCGUAGGCGGCUAGAUAAGUCCGGUGUGAAAGUCACAGGCUCAACCUGUGAAUGCCGCUGGAAACUGUCUGGCUAGAGUCCGGAAGGGGCGAGUGGAAUUCCUGGUGUAGCGGUGAAAUGCGCAGAUAUCAGGAGGAACACCAAUGGCGAAGGCAGCUCGCUGGGACGGUACUGACGCUGAGGCGCGAAAGCGUGGGGAGCAAACAGG
rnacentral:rRNA from 1 species